ACGGGUGAGUAAUACAUCGGAACGUGCCCAGUCGUGGGGGAUAACUACUCGAAAGAGUAGCUAAUACCGCAUACGAUCUGAGGAUGAAAGCGGGGGACCUUCGGGCCUCGCGCGAUUGGAGCGGCCGAUGGCAGAUUAGGUAGUUGGUGGGAUAAAAGCUUACCAAGCCGACGAUCUGUAGCCGGUCUGAGAGGACGACCAGCCACACUGGGACUGAGACACGGCCCAGACUCCUACGGGAGGCAGCAGUGGGGAAUUUUGGACAAUGGGCGAAAGCCUGAUCCAGCAAUGCCGCGUGCAGGAUGAAGGCCUUCGGGUUGUAAACUGCUUUUGUACGGAACGAAAAAGCUUCUCCUAAUACGAGAGGCCCAUGACGGUACCGUAAGAAUAAGCACCGGCUAACUACGUGCCAGCAGCCGCGGUAAUACGUAGGGUGCAAGCGUUAAUCGGAAUUACUGGGCGUAAAGCGUGCGCAGGCGGUUAUGUAAGACAGAUGUGAAAUCCCCGGGCUCAACCUGGGAACUGCAUUUGUGACUGCAUGGCUAGAGUACGGUAGAGGGGGAUGGAAUUCCGCGUGUAGCAGUGAAAU
rnacentral:rRNA from 1 species